AUCCAGUCCUAUAGUCCACAACUUCCCUGGGUUGAAGUGAUGACCCUGAAUAUGGAGGACAUUUGCACAUGGACCUACAAUGAGCAAGACUCUCUUCUUCUCUCCAGCAAUGACUGGACACCACAGCCCGAGGACUCUUCUUCAGCUCUCUGGAGAGUGAGGACAUCUUGCACCCAGGACAGCUGCAGAAGACUCUGUUGCCCUUCUUGAAAGGGCGGCACCAGACCCUGUGGGUGAAGAGGCCAAGGUGCUAGCAAAGCCUUGCGGCACAGAACUAGGGUGACCAGUAUACUGGGGUCUCCAAGUCACCAAUUUUUCCAAUUCUGUUCUGAAUUAAACUUAGGACAUCAGUAAAUAGAUGAGUGGAAUGGAGCUAUUAACAAUCAGCAGAAACUGCAUUGUCUUUAUUUAGCAGAGCAUAGACGAACACAUGCUUUAAAAACUAGAAUCAGACAUGUUUUAGGUUAAGAAAAUUUUGAUUAGGGAACAUUUUGAUGUGUAGACUUAUUCUUGAAAUCUGCCCUAUUUGAAGUUUUCAAAGUGUGUUAAAAUGCAUUAUGAUGUUGGGAAAUUUGUUUCCUCAGAGAAGCAACAACUACUCACAGGAAGUUCUUAUCUUCCGGGUGGCCCUGAUUCUCACUGAAUUGACAGUGCUGUGCCUUGGGAUGGUGAUAGCCCCUUUUAUUUCCAUUACAGUGAGGUUUGCCCCUGUGAUUGGUAUUGAUUGCUAACUGUGGGCACCUUUCCUUGUAUCAGUAAUGAGUCCCCUAUCUCAAAUGUCAGGUGUUGUCAGAUACCUUUAUCCCUCUCUCCGGGAUAACUGUGUGGAGGAAGCAGCUGAAGCUGGAGAGCGACCAUUUGUGUGGAGCAGUAGGAGCCAUCCUUAGUCUGGGAACAUCUGGAUCUGCACCGAGAGAUGACACCUAUGCAGUCCUCUUCUGGCCCUGAGUGUGGACUGUCUAGUUGGAUGGUAUUGACAAGGCAGUGAAGGCACUUACAGAUUGUAUAAGGACCAGAGGCAAAAGCCAGCUCUGAGUGGAUUCUUUCUUUGAUCAGUUCUUCAUCUCUGGAGCACCAUCUAUUUAUUGGUGCUGGAAUGACAACCACCAAUGUUAAGAGAAUUCAAAAAGCAGAAGCGGCGUGAUUGAUUUCUGGUGGAUAAAAGAGUGCAUGAGGUAAAGGAGGAGCGGGACAAGAGGGCUGAUAAGCCUCCUGUCCAGCUGAGUGAACUGGAGAAACCCGUAGGUGAGUGGGGACAAGGGUGAUCUGGGCAGAGCGGGGUACCCGGCUGUGGGUGGGGCUUACACUGCCCUAGGAGACAGGGUGGACUCAAGGGCACAGUGGUAAAGGGAAGGGCAUCUGUGCCAGGAGCUGGCAAUUUAGUCCUAUCUCUGAGCCUCAGUGUCCCCACUUGCAGAGAGGGUAUUGUGCCCCUGCCAACCCCCACCCAGGAUCCAUACAGGAGCAUGGCUUCAGGCCUGGCCAUGAUGUGGUUGUGAGGAAACAGUCAUGAGGAAGCCAAGGCCCAAGCAAGGAGCCUGGAGUGGGGGCUGAGCACUGAGAGCUUGUUCAGGGCCCAGAGACCUGGACCCUUUCCACUACCUCCUUGUCACCUGUGCCCCAGCCCUGCAGCCCCAAGCAGGGCCAUGUCUGGAACAUCAGCAGCUCCUGUGGGAGGUGCAGAAGGUGAAGAAGGAGCUGGAGGGCGCCUUGGGGCAGCUAAAGGAAGAAAACCUGGCUCUGCGGAACAAAAUGAGGGAGCAGGAGGAGCGCCUUCUGCAGCUUGACACCAG